GAAGGGGGCUAGCGUUGUUCGGAAUUACUGGGCGUAAAGCGCGCGUAGGCGGUUUUGCAAGCCAGAGGUGAAAUGCCUGAGCUCAACUUAGGAAUUGCCUUUGGGACUGCGAGGCUUUGAGGACGGGAGAGGUGAGUGGAAUUCCCAGUGUAGAGGUGAAAUUCGUAGAUAUUGGGAAGAACACCGGUGGCGAAGGCGGCUCACUGGCCCGUUUCUGACGCUGUAGCGCGAAAGCGUGGGGAUCAAACAGGAUUAGAUACCCUGGUAGUCCACGCCGUAAACGAUGAGUGCUAGGCGUCGGCACGCGCGCGGCGUGUCGGUGCCGCAGCUAACGCGUGAAGCACUCCGCCUGGGGAGUACGGUCGCAAGAUUA
rnacentral:rRNA from 1 species